ensembl:lncRNA
GCUUUUCUUUAUAGACGUGCACCGAUCCCAUUGGUUGGGCGUUUGGUUGAUAUCCAAUAGUGAUCGAUACUGAAACGCUAGCAAGUUACGUAAGACAUAAUACAUCAAAGGUGUACUGGCAACAGAAUGUCUAAUCUAAUCCAAUACUGAUCCUUCGUUACUGAUAGCAAUGCUUAGUUUCAGAUUGGUCCAUACCUACUUACUACCUACAGUAUGAACUGUGCUUGGAACAAAUAAAGUAACCUAAAUGAAUGAUUUCAGUUGUGUUUAAAACUUUUAUAUAUAGAUUGUGUGUGUGAAGCGUACCUGGGUCCUGUAAUGCAUCAUGGGAAGGGUUUGGGUGAAAGUACCAAUAUUAGGGAUACACAUCAAAAGGAAUUCAUAGAGAAAAUGUCCUCAACAUUUACCGCCAAUGUUUAUACACAUCAGUAAGUAUUUAAAAAAAACUUAUCUUAUAUAAAAUCUAAUUCAGAGGUUGUUAUGUACACUUUUUGGGACCCACUACCCUGUAUCAAUGCAGCUGUUUAACUUCUAAGCCCACUGCUUCAUUUGGAACGAACCGCAUUUGCAACAAUAACACUGAAAUCAUUCAGACACCUGCAGAAAACACGUGUUAGACCUCGAGUCGCCUUUUAAAGAGACGGAUAGAAAAGAGCAGAUCUGAAGAGCACCGAUAUCAAAACAGACUCCAAAUGAAUAAAAAUAUUUAUGCAUUUAAUUGCAUUCAUAUUAAAACCACAUGGAUAAAAAGUGCAUGUAACAAAAAAAAAAAAAAAAAAAGAAAAGGUAUGAGAAUGUGAUAUUAGAGAAAAGAAAAGGUGUUACGUAUUUGAAAUGAAAUACAUAAAAACACAUUCAAUCAGGGGUGUCAAAUAUAAAAUGUUAAAUACAUGAUGGGAAACACAGGGUUAAAAAAAAACAAACAAAGAAAAAACACCCCUAAAUAAAUAACCUACCUAUGCCAUUUACAGUACAUACCCACAGUGCCUUCCACUAAUAUUGGCACCCUUGGUAAAUAUGAGCAAAGAAAUCUGUGAAAAACUGUCUAUUGUUUAACCUUUCGAAAAAAAUUACUCUGCUCUCAU